UUCCUUUUGUCUAUCAUUGUUUAGCUUUAUUUGCUGUUCCAAAAAAUUACAAGCUUGUAGCGGCACCCUUAUUCGAACUCUAUGACAAUUCUCAAGGAUAUGGUCCAAUUAUAUCAUCGCUGCCUCAGGCCUUAUGCAGGUUUAAUUUUAUUUAUAUGUGAAGGAAUGGCGAGUUUUUCGGGACAUAUUAUAAUAGUUAAUCUAAAUAAAUCCACAUUGGUAUUUUACUUAUUUGAAUGUCUUUAUUUAAUACAUUUAUAUUUAGAUGAACCAAAUCUGCAUUAAAUACAAACAUAUUCGUGGAAACCUAAAUAACUGGAUUAAUUAUUUUAAUUAUAUAGACGUUAGACGUCAAUAAAGCAAAUAUUUAUUUUAACUAUAUUUAAACUGCGGUUCCUGUUGUAAUUUAUAUUGACACAUACGUAUAUAUGUAUUCCACGAAUGAAGGUCAUCAGAAAUUCUUAGCAUAAUAAAAUGUGUGAGUGUACACUAA